rnacentral:rRNA from 1 species
AUUGAACGCUGGCGGCAGGCCUAACACAUGCAAGUCGAGCGGAGCGGCGGACGGGUGAGUAAUACCUAGGCAUCUGCCUGGUAGUGGGGGAUAACGUCCGGAAACGGGCGCUAAUACCGCAUACUAUCAGAUGACCCUAGAUCGGAUGAUCUAGUUGGUGGGGUAAAGGCCUACCAAGGCGACGAUCGGUAACUGGUCUGAGGGGAUGAUCAGUCACAUGGGACUUGAGACAGGGCCCAGACUCCUAGGGGAGGCAGCAGUGGGGAAUAUUGGACAAUGGGGGAAAGCUUGCUCCAGCCAGGCCGCGUGUGUGAAGAAGGUCUUCGGAUUGGAAAGCACUUUAAGUUGGGAGGCGUUACCAGAAGAGUAAGCACCGGCUAACUACGUGCCAGCAGCCGCGGUAAUUC